rnacentral:rRNA from 1 species
AGUGGGGAAUCUUCCGCAAUGGACGAAAGUCUGACGGAGCAACGCCGCGUGAGUGAAGAAGGCCUUCGGGUCGUAAAGCUCUGUCGUUUGGGACGAACGUGGAAUGUGUGAAUAAUGCAUUCUAAUGACGGUACCAAAGGAGGAAGCCACGGCUAACUACGUGCCAGCAGCCGCGGUAAUACGUAGGUGGCAAGCGUUGUCCGGAAUUAUUGGGCGUAAAGGGCGUGUAGGUGGAUUCUUAAGUCGUGUGUCUAAGUGCGGAGCUCAACUCCGUAUAGGCGCAGGAAACUGGGAAUCUGAGUGCAGGAGAGGAAAGUGGAAUUCCCAGUGUAGCGGUGAAAUGCGUAGAUAUUGGGAGGAACACCAGUGGCGAAGGCGACUUUCUGGACUGUGUCUGACACUGAGGCGCGAAAGCUAGGGGAGCGAACGGGAUUAGAUACCCCGGUAGUCCUAGCCGUAAACGAUGGGUACUAGGUGUAGAGGGUAUCGACCCCUUCUGUGCCGGAGUUAACGCAAUAAGUACCCGCCUGGGGAGUACGGCCGCAAGGUUG